GAGAAUCUUCCGCAAUGGGCGCAAGCCUGACGGAGCGACACCGCGUGCAGGAUGAAGGCCUUCGGGUUGUAAACUGCUGUCACGCUUUCGGAAUUCCCGGAUGUGAACAGCAUCCGGAUUGACCAGGGCGAAAGGAAGCACCGGCUAACUCUGUGCCAGCAGCCGCGGUAAGACAGAGGGUGCAAACGUUGAUCGGAAUUACUGGGCAUAAAGAGCACGUAGGUGGUCUGCUAAGUCGUGUGUGAAAUCCCCCGGCUCAACCGGGGAAUUGCGCUCGAUACUGGCAGGCUCGAGGUGGGUAGGGGUGAGCGGAACUCCAGGUGGAGCGGUGAAAUGCGUAGAUAUCUGGAGGAACACCGGUGGCGAAAGCGGCUCACUGGACCCAAUCUGACACUGAGGUGCGAAAGCUAGGGUAGCAAAC
rnacentral:rRNA from 1 species